rnacentral:rRNA from 1 species
CCCUUAGAUGUUCUGGGCUGCACGCGCGCUACACUGAUGCACUCUACGAGUUUACGACCUUGCCCGAUAGGGUUGGGUAAUCUUUUUAAAAUGCAUCGUGAUGGGGAUAGAUUAUUGCAAUUAUUAAUCUUCAACGAGGAAUUCCUAGUAAGCGCGAGUCAUCGGCUCGUGCUGAUUACGUCCCUGCCCUUUGUACACACCGCCCGUCGCUCCUACCGAUUGAGUGCUCAGGUGGAUAAUUCGGACUGCAGCAAUGUUUGGAUCCCGAACGUUGCAGCGGAAAGUUUAGUGAACCUUAUCACUUAGAGGAAGGAGAAGUCGUAACA